GAAAUGUGUUUGAUUUCCUUUUCGGUUCUGUCAAUAGGUCAUGAUGAUACUGGGUAGUCGGUGGGUGGUGGUUGUGGUGCAGAUUUCUGUUGAUUAUUCCUUAUAACGACUUUGGCUCGCUUUCCGCAUGUUCUGCAAUCAUUUGCAUAAAUGUUGACUUGGCAACGCCAAAAAAAAGAAAAACAUUCCCAUCACGGUAUAUUAUAUAUGGUUAUAAAUAUAUGGAAAUUCUUGAUUUGUUUGCGGACUUUCCUUGCAGAAUGAGGUUAACUUCAGGUUGUAAACAGUAGAUAUGCGGGCAUUGUGCAAAGGAAUUCAAGCGUAUAAUGAUCGUCAGAUGGAUAGACAAUGCCAUAAACAAAAUGAAUUGUCAUGAUUUCCGCCGCUUAUACAACGCAACAAAGAGCGACAAUUCAAUCCGAUAUCUUGGCGCGUCGCACCUUUGAGAUUUAAUUUGAUUGUUUACAAUAAUAAGUCAUGGCUUUGCCGAAGAAAGGGGGACACACACCACACAUACACGGCAGACAAAACGCUACAUCGAAAUGCAGAGGAAAAGUAUAUUAAUCAUUUUCCCCCAGCCGCCGGCGGGAAAGUCCAAGGCGCAGCGGCAGCGGAGCAGCCACCCAUCGAUGGACCAUAAAAUCCAGCAAAUUGUUUAUAAUGCACAUGGCACACAUAAGGAAAAUUGUUUCUAUUCGGUUUCUGCCGCGACCAAAACUAAUCUCCGAUCCCAACGGCCGCGAAGAGAGGCAGGGGUUCAAUGUCCGCCACGGACCAGCGGACGACGGACAACGGACAGUUGAACGGACGGACGGACAGACGGUCGGAACAGCGGACAGGGAAGCGGACUUGGACACGAAUUCAAACUCGGAACAGGUACGAGAGCGUAAGAGUGGUAAACGGAACAGACAUAAGCAAAAAACAUUUCGGUAACGAUUUUGUUGUUGUUUCCCCACUCGAAAGGCGAAAAAAUGGGUGGUGCUGGGCACUUGGGGCUUGGUCAAAGAAUUGCAUGCAAAAACAAAUGCCGAAACUAACUGAAAAAGAAAGGCGGGCAAAAGUUGAGAGAAGUCGAUGGGGGAAAUACCCUUGUCGUACAAGCGGCGAUAAACGGUAAUAAUAUAAUGAUUUAUUUUAAGCGGUAAUAGGACGUGAUUGUUCAAUAAUAAACAUUUUAUUAUAUUUC